rnacentral:lncRNA from 1 species
CAGAAAACCCACAGCCGUAUUGCAGUACAUGUCGCAUUGUUUGAUUAGAAAUUAUAAUCUCCAGAAUUAGUGCACUUCAUUUCAUUCUAUCACUAGUUUAUAUCUUCAGUGUCAAGCCACAUUUUGACAACAGUAUUUCAAUCAAACUAGGAUGGCUGCAUUAUUUUUACUUUCUUUCAUUGGUCAAUCAUGGUAAGUUGAAAGUUCUCAUGUAGAAAUUUCUUACUUCAAUCAAAUCAGCACCAAGUUUGAAGACUUUGUUAACAAUCUAAUGCUCUUGCUGCUCCAAGUCAGAAAGCAAGGA